rnacentral:rRNA from 1 species
GAAGUCGGAAUCGCUAGUAAUCGCAGAUCAGCAUGUUGCGGUGAAUACGUUCCCGGGUCUUGUACACACCGCCCGUCAAACCAUGAGAGUCACCAACACCCGAAGUCCGCCUUGGCGGCCUAAGGUGGGGAGAUGAUUGGGGUUAAGUCGUAACAAGGUAGC